GCUUAUCCUCUUCUUCUGGUAAGCUAGAUUUUUAUCCCUUCUUCUUAGUUGAGGCUCCUGCUUCGAUUUAGUUUGAAACCCCUAACUUCUGUUGUUCACAUUGGAUUGUAUGAGGUUUGUGGAAUAUGAGAUUUUGGAGAUUCUGGAGAAGAGAAGAUCUGCUAGGUCUAUUUGAUUGACAUCGAAGAAAGAUGGUUAAUGGUUGUGGAUUUCUGCAUUUUUGGAGUGUUGGAGAAGAGAGAAACUGCUAAUUCAGCCCAAAUGAUUUUGGAAAUUGGGAUUCGAAAGGUUGGUGAGGAUGGUGCACGACUAUGUUAGAUAGAGUCAUUGUUUGGAAAAGAAGAAUGGACUCGAGUUUGUGCACAUGGAUUUGGGCAAGUGAUCGAAAGUUGGGAACGAACUCGAAUGUGGACAAGCACUCCAUAUCCAGGGAGGAAUCGAAGUUCUAAGAACAACAAAUCUGGGUCGAAAUUUGCUUCUGAUUCUAAAAGUGGAUCUUGAAAGAAAAUCUAAUGUCAAUGCUGUAGGAUACCAUUCCCAUUUUGUUGAACUUCAGGGUUUUAUCCAUUAGAGUUGGGAGAUUGAAGCUAGCUAGAGUUAAGCAAGAGUAUUGCUGGGAGCUUAACUGAACAUGGGGAGAUAAUGGCGGGAUCACAAUAUGCUAGUGUAUCGAAGAAGACAAAGUCGAAGGAAAAACGUUCGAAGCAUAAGAAGAUCAAGUCUUUGAAGUCACCAACAACAUCUUCAUUUUCUGAUGGAUCUCACUCAAAGAAGGGAAAGUCCAAAAACAAAGAAGUUGAACCAACCGGGGGACUAAAGUUGCUGAAGCGGCAUGCGGUGGCUAAGCAAAUGCAAAGCUACAUUGGUGUAUU
rnacentral:lncRNA from 1 species